rnacentral:rRNA from 1 species
CCUACGGGGGGCAGCAGUGGGGGAUAUUGCACAAUGGGGGAAACCCUGAUGCAGCGACGCCGCGUGGGUGAAGAAGCGCCUCGGCGCGUAAAGCCCUGUCAGCAGGGAAGAAAAUGACGGUACCUGAAGAAGAAGCCCCGGCUAACUACGUGCCAGCAGCCGCGGUAAUACGUAGGGGGCAAGCGUUAUCCGGAUUUACUGGGUGUAAAGGGGGCGCAGACGGCGCUGCAAGCCAGGAGUGAAAGCCCGGGGCCCAACCCCGGGACUGCUCUUGGAACUGCGUGGCUAGAGUGCAGGAGGGGCAGGCGGAAGUCCUGGGGUAGCGGUGAAAUGCGUAGAUAUCAGGAGGAACACCGGUGGCGAAGGCGGCCUGCUGGACUGCAACUGACGUUGAGGCCCGAAAGCGUGGGGAGCAAACAGGAUUAGAUACCCGGGUAGUC